UGCCCCGUGGUGUAACGGUAGCACAACAGGUUCUGGUCCUGUUUGUCAAGGUUCAAAUCCUUGCGGGGUAACCA
rnacentral:tRNA from 2 species